AACGCGAAGAACCUUACCUACUCUUGACAUCCUGCGAACCUAGCGUAGCGGCUGGGGUGCCGAAAGGAACGCAGAGACAGGUGCUGCAUGGCUGUCGUCAGCUCGUGUUGUGAGAUGUUGGGUUAAGUCCCGUAACGAGCGCAACCCUUGUCCUUAGUUGCCAGCAUUUAGUUGGGGACUCUAAGGAGACUGCCGGUGAUGAACCGGAGGAAGGCGGGGACGACGUCAAGUCAUCAUGGCCUUUAUGAGUAGGGCCACACACGUGCUACAAUGGGGCGUACAGAGGGUCGCCAACCCGCGAGGGGGAGCCAAUCCCUUAAAGCGCUUCGUAGUCCGGAUUGGAGUCUGCAACUCGACUCCAUGAAGUUGGAAUCGCUAGUAAUCGCGAAUCAGCAAUGUCGCGGUGAAUACGUUCCCGGGCCUUGUACACACCGACGCGUA
rnacentral:rRNA from 1 species